ACCUUAUCAACCGCUUCAAAUUUUUGAAUGUGGCUUGGAUGUUGGGGGGCUCUUUGCCGGCCUUUAGAGAAAGGUCGGCUCCCCUGAAACGCAUUAGUGGCAUCUGAGCUGCUACUGUAGGUGUGAUAAAUAUCUAUGCCUUUGGUAUGCUGCAUGAACAGAUCGCGCUGCUCAAAACUGACUUGACAA
rnacentral:misc_RNA from 1 species